AAUUUCUAUUUCUAGGUCCGUACCUCUACCUCAACUCUAAAUAAUUUCAUGAUAGGGUUAGUAGCUAAUCUUUAAUUUUAUUAAGUUGCAUGGUGGAGUUACUUCAAAAGUAAUGUUUGGUAGAGAUGAGGUAGAAGUACUAACAUAGAAAUAGAAAUUCAGAAAGUUAACAAAAUAAGAAAAUAAAAAAAGUUAUAUUUAGAUCAAGAAUAGACAACUUAGCUUUUCAAGUAUCCGCUUCUAACUGAUGAUCAGUUCGUCAACUUAACAUGUGCCGAGGCAAAUCUUAUGUUCUUCGAGCUCCAAUCUUCAAGCACAUACCAUUUUUAACAAAUUAGAGUUUAAUAAAUUUUAUAUUUCUAAUUAACAAUCAUCGAACUGUAUUUUGUUGGCUGUCUCAAUUUCUAUUUCCUAGGUCCGUACCUCUACCUCAACUCUAAAUAAUUCCAUGACAGGGUUAGUAGCUAAUCUUUAAUUUUAUUAAGUUGCAUGGUGGAGUUACUUCAAAAAUAAUGUUUGGUAGAGAUAAGUAGGCGUACUGACAUAGAAAUAGAAAUUGAGAUAUUAAACAAAUUAAGAAAAUUAAAAAAAUUAUAUUUAGCUCAAGAAUAAAGAACUUAUCUUUUCAAGUAUCAGCUUCUAACUGAUCAUAAGUUUUUCAACUUAACUUGUGCCGACGCAAACCUUAUAUUCUUCGAGCUCCAACCUUCAAGCACAUAACAUUUUAAUAAAUUAGAGUUUAUAAAAUUUCUAUUUCUAAUUAAUAAUCAUCACACUAUAUUAUAAAAAUUUAAUUUAAACAUCAAAAAAUAUAUGUGUAAUAUACUACUCACAGUAAGACGCUCCAGAGCUAACCUCCAUCCGUCGCACUUAAUGACUCCGGGUUAUCUAGUCACAAAUAUACAAAUUAAAGUUUAUAAAUUUUCUAUUUCUAAUUAACAAUCAUCAAACUAUAUUGUGUUCACUGUCUCAAUUUCUAUUUCCUAGGUCCGUACCUCUACCUCAA
rnacentral:lncRNA from 1 species